UUGAAUUCCUUUUAGACUUCUUGUAGUCUUCGAUCAAUUGAACUUGUCGGACCUAGUGAGUCGACCUACGUAUUCGGUGCCUGUAUAAUAAGUAUUGGCGUGUUUUUAUGUAGGAUCUCAAUGAAGGUCAGUAGUGUUCGGGAAAUGUCAUAGUGCAAUCGGGACCUUUUGGUAGACAGUAUUCGAUUCGUCUUGGUUUGUGCUUAUAGUUGGUAUUAUUUCACCAUCAUCCCAAUUUUACCGCUGUGUUUAUUCUUCCUUUGUCUAUAUUUCUCAUUUCCAGAUCUUUCUUACAUUGAAUAUUAGGUGAGGAUUGCCGUUCCUUUACAAUUCAUUACAAAGGGCUUAUUCUAUUUGUAUAGAUAUAGUGGGGGAGCGUAUUAAAUCCUUGUUUGUCUAUUAGCUCUCAGUUCUUGUCUUCGGCGUGGGGUAGAGCAGUUUGGUAGCUCGCAAGGCUCCUAACUUUGUUGUCAUGGGUUCAAAUCUUGUCUCUGCAACAUUAUAUUUAUUCUUGGGUAAUUUUUAUUUUUUGCAUGUGUGAAUAAGUGUGUGUUGCUUUUUGCUCGUUACUUUUUUGCUUGUUUGCAGUCACUUGAAGAUGGACUUGGUGAAAAUUAGAGAGCCUUUUGCGUGGCUGGACUUCUUACUUGUUAUUGAAGAUGGACUUCUUACCUCUGAUUAGUUGAAAACAGAAGAGUAUCUAAUUUUCUGUUUUUGUUUAUUGCUUUACCUCUCUCUUUGUUGUUUACAAACAUUUGUUAUCUUGCUUGUUUGAAGUUGAUUUUGGGAGCGGUCUUUUGGAAGAGCUAAGAGAACCUUUACCUGGUUAGACUGCAGGAAAUGAUCGACGUUUCUGUUAGUUUGUAUUAGGAUAUUGAGUCAUUGGCAUAUCUUACCCAAAACCUGAGUUGUAAUGUUUCAAAGUGCCUUGACUUCUUACAUGCGCUGAGUUGAAAAUUCUCUUUAAGUCUCUGUUUUUGAUUUUUUGUUCUUGGUUUUGCUUGACCUCUCCAUUCGGUGUUUAUAAACAUUUGUUAUUUUACUUGUUUGAAGUUGAUUUUGAGAGUGGUCUUUUGGAAGAGCUAACAGAACCUUUACCUGGUUAGACUGCAGGAAAUGAUCCAUGUUUCUGUAAGUUUGUAUUAGGAUAUCGAGUCAGUGGCAUCAUAUCUUACCGAAAACCUGAGUUGUAAUGUAUCAAAGUUCCUUGAGUUGUUUAUGGACAUUUUUUUGAAGACAUGGUGGACAAAAACUGAGAAGAUCAUUGUGGAAUAUUUGCUUCCUCAAUCGCAUAAUUAGGUAUCAGGUAAAUGGACUUUAGUAAAUAACUUAGUCUGACCUUUGAUCUUGGUUUGACUCAUAAACUGUUUUGAUUCAAAACUUUAAGUUAAUUUUUUUUUUUUUGAGAGCUUGCUAAUACUGCUUUGAUCUAUCCAGUUAGAUUUUAUCGAAUGAUUAACAGAUUGAAUUGGUUUAAGGUAAUAUUUAGUUCAAAGUCAGAAUGCAUCAAUUGCAUGAUCGAUAGUUUGAAUGCCUAUGAGACUGCCAGUAAGUGUCAAUCAAUCGUACUUCUCAGACCUAUGUAUUAUGUGCCUGUAUAAUAGUAGUGUGGUGUUUUUAUGUAGGAUCUCAAUGAAGGCCUGCUGCUUUCGGAAAAUUUCAAAGUUCAGUCGGGACCUUGUGGUAGGAAUCAUUCGAUUCGUCUGGUUUGUGCUUAUUUACGUUUUGAAAGUUGUGUAGCAUUAUAUUUGCUAUUAUUUCACCAUCAUCCCAAUUUUUACGUGUUUAUUCUUCCUUCAUCUAUAUUUUCUUUUUUCCACUAUUUGUUCUGAAAAUUCAUGGAUCUUUCAUACUUGGAAUAUUAGGUGAGGAUUGCUAUUCCUUUACAAUUCAUUACAAAUGGCUUAUUCUAUUUGUACAGAUAUGUGUUGAGUCAUUGGCAUAUCUUAACCCCAAAACUGAGUUGUAAUGUUUCAAAGUGGCUUGACUUCUUACCCGCUCUGAGUUGAAAACAGAGGAGAGUAUCUAAUGUUUCAGGCAGCAUUCGAUUCAUUUUUGUUUGUGCUUAUAUUUGUUAUUAUUUCACCAUCAUCCCAAUUUUUACCGCUGUGUUUAUUCUUCCUUCAUCUAUAUUUCUCUUUUCCUCUAUUUGUUUUGAAAAUUCAUGGAUCUUCUUACACUGAAUAUUAGGUGAGGAUUGCUAUCCCUUUACAAUUCAUUACAAAUGGCUUAUUCUAUUUGUACAGAUAUGGUGGUGGAGCAUGUUAAAUCCUAGUUUGUCUAUUAGUUCUCAGUUCUUGUCUUCAGCGUGGGGCAGAACAGUUUGGUAGCUCACAAGGCUCCUAACCUUGAUGUCAUGGGUUCAAAUCCCGUCUCCGCAGCUUUAUUUUUAUUCUUGAUUUUUAUUUUUUAUUUUUAACAUAUGUGAAUAAGUUUGUUAUGCUGGUUGUCCAUUACGUUUUUGCUUGUAGUCACCUUAUGAUUGGCUUGGUGAAAGUUAAAAGAGCCUUUUGCGUGGCUGGACUUCUUACUUGUCAUUGGACUGUACAUCCUGUGAUUAGUUGAAAACAGAAGAUAGUAUCUAAUUCUGUGUCUUUGUUUUUCGUUCUUGGCUUUUGCUUGACCUAUCUCUUUGGUGUUUACAAACGCUUGUUAUUUUGCUUUAUUUGUAGUUGUUUUUGAGAGUGGUCUAUUGGAAGAGCUAAGAGAACCUUACCCGGUUAGACUGCAGGAAAUGAUCGAUGUUUCUGUAAGUUUGUUUUAGGAUAUUGAGUCAUUUGCAUAUCUUACCCAAAACCUGAGUUGUAAUGUAUCAAAGUGCCUUGAGUUGUUUAUGGACAUUUAUUUUGAAGACAUGGCAGACAAAAAAUUGAGAUCAUUAUGGUGGAAUAUUUGCAUCCUCAAUCACACAAUUAUGUAUCAGGUAAAUGGACUUCAGUAAAACCUUAGUUUGACCUUUGAUCUUGGUUUGGCUCUGAAACUAUUUUGGUUCUAAACUUUAAGUUUUAGAUUUAGAUUAUUUUCGAAAGCUUGAAAGUUAUGUGUUGUUCGAUCCAGAGUGCUUAGAUCGAAUGAUCAACCAAUUGAAUUGGUUUCAGGUGACAUUUAAGUCAAAGUCGGAAUGCAUCGAAUUCCUUUUAGACUUCUUGUAGGUCUUUGAUCAAUCGAACUUGUCGGACCUACAUGUCUGGUGCCUUUAUAACAGUAGUGGCGUGUUUUUAUGUAGGAUCUCAAUGAAGGCCAGUAGUGUUCAGGAAAUGUCAUAGUGCAGUUGGGACCUUGUGGUAGGCAGCAUUCGAUUCGUGUUGGUUUGUGCUUAUUUAUGUUUUGAAAGUUGUGUAACUGUAUAUUUGGUAUUAUUUCACCAUUUUCUGAAUUUUUACCACUGUGUUUAAUUUUCCUUCAUCUAUAUUUUCUUUUCCACCAUUUGUUCUGAAAAUUAAUUGAUCUUUCUUACCAGGAAUAUUAGGUGGGGAUCACUAUUCCUUUAGAAUUCAUUAUGAAUGGGUUAUUCUAUUUGUACAGAUGUAGCGGAGGAGUAUAUUAAAUCCUUGUUUGUUUAUUAGUUCACAGUUCUCGUCUUCAGCGUGUGGCAGUGCAGUUUGGUAGCUCGCAAGGCUCCUAACCUUGACGUUAUGGGUUCAAAUCCUGUAUCUGUAACAUUAUAAUUUAUUCUUAGGGUUUUUUUUAAGCAUGUUUGAAUAUGUGUGUUUUUCUGGUCGCUCUUUACUUUUUUGCUUGUUUGCAGUCAAUUGAAGAUGGACUUGGUGAAAGUUAAAGUGCCUUUUGCGUGGCUGGACUUCUUCCUUGUUAUUGAAGAUGGACUUCUUACCCGUGAUUAGUUGAAAGCAGUAGAGAGGAUCUAAUUCUCUGUUUUUGUUUUUUGUUCUUGGAUUCUGCUUGACUUCUCUCUUUGGUGUUUACCAACAUUUGUUAUUUUGCUUGUUUGAAGUUGAUUUUGAGAUCGGUCUUUUGGAAGAGCAUAGAGAACCUUUACCUGGUUAGACUGCUGGAAAUGAUCGAUGUUUCUGCAAGUUUGUAUUAGGAUAUUUUGUCAUUGGCAUAUCUUACCCAAAACCUUUGUUGUAGUGUAUCAAAGUGCCUUGAGUUGUUUAUGGACAUUUUUGAAGACAUGGUGGACAGAACAUGAGAAGAUUCAUUGCGGAUUAUUUAUUCUUUGCAUCUUCAAUCGGACAAUUAGGUAUCAGGUAAAUGGACUUUAGUAAAUAACUUUGUUUGACCUUUGAUCUUGGUUUGGCUCAUUAACUGUUUUUAUUCAAAACCUUACGUUUUAGAUUAUUUUCAAAGACUUGCAAAUUAUGCUUUGAUCAAUCCAGAUAGCUUUGAUAGAUACAGAUAGCUUUGAUUGAAUGAUCAGCCAAUUGAAGUGGUUUCAGGUAAUACUUGGUUUAAAGUCAGAAUGCAUCGAUUGCAUGGUCGAUAGAUCUGAAUGCCUCUGAGACUCUGCCAGAUCUCAAUGAAGGCCAGUAGUGUUCGGGAAAUGUGAUAGUGUGGUAGGCAGCAUUCGAUUCGUUUUGGUUUGUGCUUAUAUUUGUUUAUUCUUCCUUCAUCUAUAUUUCUCUUUUCCACCAUUUGUUCUGAAAGUUCAUGGAUCUUUCUUACACUGAAUAUUAGGUGAGGGUUGGUAUUCCUUUACAAUUCAUUACAAAUGGCUUAUUGUAUUUGUACAGAUGUAGUGGUGGAGCAUAUUAAAUCCUUGUUUGUCUAUUAGUUCUCAGUUCUUGUCUUCAGCGUGGGGCAGAGCAGUUUGGUAGCUAACAAGGCUCCUAACCUUGAUGUCCUGAGUUCAAAUCCCGUCUCCGCAGCUUUAUUAAUAAAUUUGUUAGGCUGGUUGUCCGUCACUUUUCUGCUUUGUUGCAGUCACUUGAAGAUUGGCUUGGUGAAAGUUAAAGAGCCUUUUGCGUGGCUGGACUUCUUACUUGUCAUUUGACUGUACAUCCUGUGAUUAGUUGAAAACAGAAGAUAGUAUCUAAUUCUCUGUUUUUGUUUUUGGUUCUUGGCUUUUGCUUGACCUCUCUCUUUGGUGUUUACAUACGCUUGUUAUUUUGCUUUAUUUGUAGUUGUUUUUGAGAGCGGUCUAUUGGAAGAGCUAAGAGAACCUUUACCUGGUUAGAUUGCAGGAAAUGAUCGAUGUAUCUACAUGGCAGACGAAAAAUUGAGGUCAUCAUGGUGGAAUAUUUGCAUCUUCAAGCGCACGAUUAUGUAUCAGGUGAUAUUUAGGUCAAAGUCAGAAUGCAUCGAUUGCAUGGUGGAUAGGGAUCUCAGUGAAGGCCAGUAGUGAUCCGGAAAUGUCAUAGUGCAGUCGGGACCUUUUGGUUGCCAGCAUUCAAUUCGUCUUGGUUUGUGAGUAUUUACGUUUUGAAAGUUGUGUAACUGUGUAACUGUAACUGAGUAUUUACGUUUUGAAAGUUGUUUAACAAUCAUCCCAAUUUUUACCGUUGUGUUUAUUAUUCCUUCAUUUUUAUUUCUCUUUUCCACCAUUCCAUUUGUUCUGAAAAUUCAUGGAUCUUUCUUACACUGAAUAUUCGGUGAGGAUUGCUACUAUUCUUUUACAAUUCAUUAUAAAUGGCUUAUUGUAUUUGUACAGAUAUAGUGGGGGAGCAUAUUAAAUCCUAGUUUGUCUAUUAGUUCUCAGUUAUUGUCUUCAGUGUGGGGCAGAGCAGUUUGGUAGUUAACAAGGCUCCUAACCUUGAUGUCAUAGGUUCAAAUUAUUUUUAUUCUUGGUUUUAUUUUUAUUUUUUUAAAACAUAUGUGAAUAAGAUUGUUAUGCUGGUUGUCCGUUACUUUUUUGCUUGGUUGCAGUAACUUGAAGAUUGGCUUGGUGAAAGUUAAAGAACCUUUUGUGUGGCUGGACUUCUUACUUGUCAUUGGACUGUACAUCCUGUGAUUAGUUGAAAACAGACGAUAGUAUCUAAUUCUCUGUUUUUAUUUUUCGUUCUUGGCUUUUGCUUGACCUCUCUUUGGUGUUUACAAACGCUUGUUAUUUUGCUUUAUUUGUGGUUGUUUUUGAGAGCGGUCUAUUGGAAGAGCUAAGAGAACCUUUACUUGGUUAGACUGCUAGAAAUGAUUGAUGUUUCUGUAAGUUUGUUUUAGGAUAUUCAGUCAUUUUUAUAUCUUUCCCAAAACCUGAGUUGUAAUGUAUUAAAGUGCCUUAAGAUGUUUCUGGACAUUUAUUUUGAAGACAUGGCAAACAAAAAAUUGAGUUCAUCAUGGUGGAAUAUUUGCAUCCUCAAUCGCACAAUUAUGUAUCAGGUAAAUGGACUUCAGUAAAAACCUUAGUUUGACCUUUGAUCUUUGUUUGGCUCUUAAACUAUUUUGGUUCUAAACUUUAAGUUUUAGAUUUAUAUUAUUUUCGAAAGCUUGGAAGUUAUGUGUUGUUCGAUCGAGAGAGCUUUGAUUGAAUGAUCAACUGAUUGAAUUGGUUUCAGGUGAUAUUUGGGUCAAAGUCAGAAUGCAUCGAUUGCAUGGUGGAUAGGGUGAAUUCCUUUUAGUCUUCUCAUAUUCUUCGAAUUAUGGAACUUGUUGGACCUACGUAUCUGUUGCCUGUGUAACAGUUGUGGCGUGUUUUUAUGUAGGAUCUCAAUGAAGGCCAGUAGUGUUUAUUCUUCCUUAAUCUAUAUUUUUCUUUUCCACCAUUUAUUCUGAAAAUUCAUGGAUCUUUCUUAUUUGGAAUAUUAGGAGAGGAUUACUAUUCCUUUACAAUUCAUUAUAAAUGGGUUAUUCUAUUUGUACAGAUAUAGUGCAGGAGCAUAUUAAAUCCUUGUUUGUCUAUUCGUUCACAGUUCUCGUCUUCAGCGUUUGGCUGAGCAGUUUGGUAGCUCGCAUGGCUCCUAACCUUUUGACGUUAUGUGUUCAAAUCCUUUAUCUGCAGCAUUAUUUUUUCUCUUUGAGUUGGUUAUUUUUUUUAAUUUUUUUUUUAAACAUGUGGGAAUAAGUUUGUUUUGCUGGUUGCUCAUUACUUUUUUGCUUGUUUGCAGUCACUUUAAGAGGGACUUAGUGAAAGUUUAAGUGCCUUUUGAGUGGAUGGACUUCUUACUUGUUAAUGGACUGUACAUCCUGUGAUUAGAUGAAAACAGAAGAGAGUAUAUAAUUAUCUGUUUUUGUUUUUUGUUCUUGGAUUUUGCUUGACCUCUCUCUUUGGUGUUUACAAACACUUGUUAGUUUGCUUGUUUGUGGUUGAUUUUGAGAGCGGACUUUUGGAAAAGCUCAGAGAACCUUUACCUCGGUAGACAGCAGGGAAUUUUUUUUAUUGUAAGUUUGUAUUAGGAUAUUGAGUCAGUGGUAUAUCUUACCCAAAACCUGAGUUGCUAUAUAUAUCAAAUGCCUUGAGUUGUUUAUGGACAGUUUUUUGAAGACAUGGCAGAUAAAAAAUUGAGAAGGUCAUGGAGGAAUAUUUGCAUCCUCAAUUGCACAAUUAGGUACAGGUAAAUGGUCCUUUGAGCUUGGUUUGGCUCCGAAACAGUUUUGAUUCCAAACAUU